GAUGAACGCUGGCGGCGUGCCUAAUACAUGCAAGUCGAACGCAUAGCGAAAGGUGCUUGCACCUUUCAAGUGAGUGGCGAACGGGUGAGUAACACGUGGACAACCUGCCUCAAGGCUGGGGAUAACAUUUGGAAACAGAUGCUAAUACCGAAUAAAACUUAGUGUCGCAUGACACAAAGUUAAAAGGCGCUUCGGCGUCACCUAGAGAUGGAUCCGCGGUGCAUUAGUUAGUUGGUGGGGUAAAGGCCUACCAAGACAAUGAUGCAUAGCCGAGUUGAGAGACUGAUCGGCCACAUUGGGACUGAGACACGGCCCAAACUCCUACGGGAGGCUGCAGUAGGGAAUCUUCCACAAUGGGCGAAAGCCUGAUGGAGCAACACCGCGUGUGUGAUGAAGGCUUUCGGGUCGUAAAGCACUGUUGUAUGGGAAGAACAGCUAGAAUAGGAAAUGAUUUUAGUUUGACGGUACCAUACCAGAAAGGGACGGCUAAAUACGUG
rnacentral:rRNA from 1 species